AAAAACAAAAUCAGGCCGUUCAGUUAGUGAAAAGUAAAAACACCAGAAUACGAAUAGAUAUCACAAACACCCCAAUCUAUUACCAUGGAGAUCUGAAGCAAUUGGUUGGACUGCAUUAUUAUCUUAAAGGGUAGUUAUGCUGUAUUUUAAGGCUUCUACAGCCUAUGUUAGUAAAGGUUAACUUGCUUUAAAUGUCAGGAAAAUAGACAUUAUCAUUACUCUAAUGGGGGGACACUGCAGAUUGAGGCAACAAGGCAAGUAAAUCGUGCUGGGUAUACAGAAAUGGUCGAGAAGUUCGUGAGAUCAGACAGUCCAUUGAAUUUCGUGAUGAGUAAUCUGACUCAGCUGGUGACCCCAUCCGUGUGUGUUAUCGAAUUUAAUAGUUUUUCCAUGGUUUUAGGCCUUAAAUUCUUUAGUUUUUCGAGAUAAGGCCUAGGAAACACUUUGCUUUUGGGAUCGAAAUCAACAAGGUUAGGAAAACCCAUUUGGAUAAAUUGAUACCCAUUUUACAUAAAUCUUUGAGCAAUCCACAUCUAUUAUUUGUUUUUCAAAUUUGGAGGGCUCUUUCUCAUAUGAGGUCAGAAAUUUUGGUGGACCGGUGCUGUCUAGUUUGUAUAAUGGAAAGGUAUUGAGACCAGACUCUGCUAGCGAUGGCAAUUUGGUCCUGUAUGGAUUUUACUUAAGGACAAAGUCAGGCCCAUUUGCAGUAUCUGCUGUUUGAGAACAUGGUCCCUCUACAAGGGACUUUUUUCUAGGGUUAGUACAUCUAGUAACGGUCUAUUUUGCUACACCUAGAAGGCUAUUUGCAUAUGCGAAUCUAUUUUAUGGCACGCGAAAGGGCGUUUUCAUAUGUCCAGAUCGUUAUCUCAUCCUCUAAGAUAAUACAUUCAACCUUGUGGGCCUGUUUGAUUUUCAGGAAAGAUUAGGUUUGUGUCAAAAAAAUAAGUAAGGCAAUUUGCAAAUUUCCAUCUUGCUAAUUUCCCUCUUAAAAGAUACCCUUGACAGGACAUAUGUAUCCCUGUGUUGCUGUUUGAUUUUCUGAAAUUCGGGAGUGUUAAAAAGAAAGACCUAAAUCGGGUAAUUUGAUUAAGCCAAUCUGCUAAUCUCUUUCUCAAAGAUAUGCCUUUAAAAGGAUGUAAUAUCCUUAUUUCCCUUUCUGAUAUUUUAUGAAGGGCUGCGAUUCUUUCAGAAAAAGACUUAAAACAGCCUGUUUAUUUAUGACCGUCUAUGUUUUGAGCACCAAACAGGCCAUUUCUCUACUGCAUCUUCGCCUUCCAUAGAGAGGUGCCUCCUUAAUUAAGUAUCCUGAAGAAUGAAGCAUUCAGCCAUAUGUCCCUGUUUGAUUUUAUGAAGGAUGAUGAUUAUGAUUGGCUAAAUGAUCAGUAAAAUUUUAGUUGAAAAUAUGUUCCUCGGUGUGUGGAUCUGUGUUCCAUAGGUCUUUCCUUUAGGCCUUGAAUUCUAUCAUUUCAUUAAAGUUUGAACUAAGAAUCCCUAGACACUCUUGCCAAGGGUUGCCCAUUGAUCUAAAUUUUGUUUUCUUUCUGGUGUGGAUUUUUAAGUCUGGUUGGACUGCAGUGCAUAUAUAGUAUCAUUAGGGGCUUUUAGAUAUCUUCAUUCACCUUUGAAUCAAGGCUCCCAAGACAUAAUUUGUGGAAGAUUUUGGUUGCCUAUCCAGGACUAGGGUUCUUCUUCAUCUUUUAAUUAUAGUUCUUGAGUGGGUUCUUAAGUGUGGUUGGUCUGGAGUGCAUAUUCAGUAUCAUCAGGGCCCUUAGGAUGGGGUCCUGUUUAUCAACAGAUGGAAGUAGUUUCAACGCUCUUCCUCGGUCUGCCUCCUCAUCUUCGGCAAGGAUGAGGUCGAGGAAGAACAAGAGGAAGACGACAUCCCAGACAAAUCAAGCAAAAUUAGAUGAGCAUGUUAGCAAGAUUCCUGGGAGGAUGUUUUCAAAUGGUUCCAGCAGUGUCGCUUGUAUGUUCACGCAGCAAGGAAGAAAGGGAACCAACCAAGAUGCCAUGCUUGUCUGGGAGGAUUUUUGUUCUAGAAAGGACACAGUUUUCUGUGGAGUAUUUGAUGGGCACGGUCCAUUUGGCCAUCUAGUAGCAAAAAGGGUGAGGGACUCACUACCAUCAAAGCUGUGGUCUCAAUGGGAAACAGAAGGCAGAGAUGAUAGUAGCUUAAAAGAAGUUAACGUUACAGUGGGAAGCAUAAAUUCUGAGGACUCGACUAUGGAUGAUGAAUGGAGGGAGCUAGCAGAUGCUGAAGAGAGGGAGAAAGGACCAGAGAUUUUUUCAACUUUGAAAGAGUUGUUUUUGAAAGCAUUUAAAGUAAUGGAUAAGGAGUUGAGGUUGCAUCCUACAAUUGAUUGCUUUUGUAGUGGGACUACUGCUGUAACUUUGGUGAAACAGGGACAAGACUUGGUUAUUGGUAAUGUUGGAGAUUCGAGAGCAGUUUUGGGUACAAGAGAUCAAGACAAUUCUUUGGCCGCAGUGCAGUUGACGGUGGAUUUGAAACCAAAUCUCCCAAGGGAAGCUGAAAGGAUUCGACAAUGCAAAGGGCGAGUUUUUGCAUUGCAUGAUGAGCCUGAGGUGGCACGUGUUUGGCUGCCUAAUAAUGACUCCCCUGGGCUAGCUAUGGCUAGAGCUUUUGGUGACUUCUGUCUUAAGGACUUCGGUCUCAUUGCUGUACCAGAUGUUUCUUACCAUUGCCUCACUGAGAGAGAUGAGUUUGUUGUACUGGCUACAGAUGGGAUCUGGGACGUGCUCUCUAACAAAGAGGUUGUGGACAUUGUGGCAUCAGCACCCUCUCGAACGACUGCAGCCAAAGCUUUGGUGGAUUAUGCUGUCCGAGCAUGGCAUUGGAAAUAUCCAACCUCUAAGGUGGAUGAUUGUGCAGUGAUCUGUCUCUUCCUAGAUAAUUCUUUGCCAUCUGAAUCAAAAUCAACUACUGUACAGGGACAGGACACUGGUAUUCAGCAAGUGCCAAAGGAGGUGAUCUCGUUACAAGAAGUUUCGCAGGAAAGGUCAGAAAAGAAGGAUGAAUCUGUUGUAGAUGGACAGGCAAAUGGUCCUUCACUAGGGCGUUUAAACACAUUGAGGACUGGAAAUGAACUAUGUGAUGCAUCUCAAAAGUUACAGAAAGAAGAUAAUUCCAGUGAACUAAAUUGUCCAGAUAGAAAUCCAUCCAAGAGAAGCCUUGCUGAGUGUAUUUCUACAGCUGAGGAUGAGGAAUAUUCUGCACUUGAAGGGGUUACAAGAGUAAAUUCUCUGCUUAAUCUUCCAAGGUUUUUAACAGGAGACAAAAAGGCUGGAGGACUGAGGAAGUGGUUUUGAGUCCACUUAGAUCAGUACCAUAUUUUAGAGUUUCGCUGAGUGCCAUUUGUCAGUUUUUUUACCAUAUUUUUACCUUUUUUUGGAUGCAGAGGAUCUGUUUCAAAAGAAUGAUAUCUGACGGUGAUUCUUGUAACUAAUUCUGUUACUAAGUAGUUCACCAUUUACUAUAAGAAAGUCUGCUGAAAAAAAUAAUUGCAUAGCCUUGUAUAUUUAGGUUCUAGGUUUCUUGCAUUACUAUUGAGGAGUAACAAGAAAGGGUGGGUGCUUCAAUAAGCUAUUUCACUGUAUGGAUUAGUGUUUUUCAGAUGCAACUUAAUCAUGGAAGAGUGGACAUUAGAAAAUGUUAUUUCAGUCCUGACCUUCGGAUGCAGAAAAUAUUAUAUCACCUGCUGGACCCAUAUUUAAAUUCUUACCAGAUUCAAACACUUUCAGACAGGCUUUAUGGAAAGGAAUUUAAAGAGGUUCAUUUGCAAGCCUUUUCUGGUUGAAAGUUUUUUUCAAGGCAAUCCAGGCCAUAAUUUUGUGGCUGUCUUGUACUCUGUUGUGUGCGAAGUUCUGGAAGUUCUGGUCUCAGAGGUUGGUGGAUACGAAGAUUACGUCUUUCUAUACCUUGCUGGAAGGAUUUGUUGGUGAUGGUUCCAGAUCUGUUCUGUUCAUAUCCGAAGUUCUUCCAUGAAGGAUAACUGCAGCCUUCAUAUUAUGCACUUUACUGGGAUAUGUUUUUGUGUCUUUUAAUCAGAACUUGAUCUGGGGUGCCUUCAACUGUCUUAAGAGUCAGAAUCAAAUGGAUAUUAUUUUUUCAAUAGCUAAGUAAGAUGGAUGCUGAAGAUGCAGCAUCUUUAUGCAUGAAGGAGGCUUGAUAAGGAAGAAUUGGAUAAUAUAGCAGUCCAUUCCCGUAUUAUGAUGGUUGUACCCAACAAUGAUACAAGUGGCAUUUUCAAAUGUCCUUUAAUUUCAUUGCCAAAUUAGACAACCCAUUGGUGUAAUAGAGCAAGCAUUUCACAAACAGAUUGCCAUUUACACAUUAAAUUUUGCAAACAAUAAACAUGGAGCAUACAGCUGUGAGAGGAAAGAGAGCUUGACGAAAUGCCUCAACCAAUGAAUUUUAAAAAAAAAUAGUAAUUUCUAAGUUGGCUUUUGUAUUGUGUUUAUUAUCCUUUCCCUCGGUGUCUAAUAACUUCACUGAGAUGUUUUUCAUUCAUUUCUUUUUUGCGUGCAAUAGAUCAGCUGAUUUGCUAAUCAA